GACAGAGGGUGCAAACGUUGUUCGGAAUUACUGGGCGUAAAGCGUGUGUAGGCGGCCACGUAAGUCGGAUGUGAAAGCCCCGGGCUCAACUCGGGAAGUGCACUCGAUACUGCGUGGCUUGAGUACUGGAGAGGUUGGUGGAAUUCUCGGUGUAGAGGUGAAAUGCGUAGAUAUCUGGAGGAACACCGGUGGCGAAGGCGGCAUCCUGGACCAACACUGACACUGAGGAGCGAAAGCCAGGGGAGCAAACGGG
rnacentral:rRNA from 1 species